rnacentral:rRNA from 1 species
GACGAACGCUGGCGGCGUGCUUAACACAUGCAAGUCGAGCGGAAAGGCCCUUUCGGGGGUACUCGAGCGGCGAACGGGUGAGUAACACGUGAGUAAUCUGCCCCUGGCUUUGGGAUAGCCACCGGAAACGGUGAUUAAUACCGGAUACGACCACUUCUCGCAUGGGAUGGUGGUGGAAAGUUUUUCGGCCAGGGAUGUGCUCGCGACCUAUCAGCUUGAUGGUGAGGUAAUGGCUCACCAUGGCUUCGACGGGUAGCCGGCCUGGGAGGGUGACCGGUCACACGGGGACUGAGACACGGACCAGACUCCUACGGGAGGCAGCAGUGGGGAAUAUUGGACAAUGGGCGGAAGCCUGAUCCAGCAACGCCGCGUGAGGGAUGACGGCCUUCGGGUUGUAAACCUCUUUCAGCAGGGACGAAGCGCAAGUGACGGUACCUGCAGAAGAAGCACCGGCCAACUACGUGCCAGCAGCCGCCGUAA